rnacentral:rRNA from 1 species
AGAGUUUGAUCCUGGCUCAGAACGAACGCUGGCGGCGCGUCUUAAGCAUGCAAGUCGAACGGCAAGGCAGGUGCUUGCACCUGCCCUAGAGUGGCGGACUGGUGAGUAACACGUGGGUGACAUGCCUUUUAGUUGGGGAUAGCUACUAGAAAUAGUAGAUAAUACCGAAUGUGAUCAAUAUUUAUAGAUGAUGUUGAGGAAAGGAGCUAAGGCUUCGCUAAAAGAUUGGCCCGCGGCCCAUUAGCUAGUUGGUAGGGUAAAGGCUUACCAAGGCGAUGAUGGGUAUCCGGCCUGAGAGGGUGAUCGGACACAUUGGGACUGAGAUACCGCCCACACUCCUACGGGAGGCAGCAGCUAAGAAUCUUCCGCAAUGGGCGAAAGCCUGACGGAGCGACGCCGCGUGAACGAAGAAGGCCGUGAGGUUGUAAAGUUCUUUUCGGGAGGGGGAACGAGCCUGCCAGGCAAUGGGCGGGCGCUGACGUGAAUCCCGGAAUAAGCCCCGGCUAACUACGUGCCAGCAGCCGCGGUAACACGUAGGGGGCGAGCGUUGUUCGGAAUCAUUGGGCGUAAAGGGCGUGCAGGCGGCCGCCAAAGUCCGGCGUGAAAGACCCAGGCUCAACCUGGGGGGUGCGCCGGAUACUGGGCGGCUUGAGUACAGGAGGGGACGGCGGAAUUCCAGGUGUAGGGGUGAAAUCUGUAGAUAUGACGAGGAACUCCUAUUGCGAAGGCAGCUUGCUGGGUCGUUACUGACGCUGAUGCUCGAAGGUGCGGGCAUCAAAAAGGAUUAGAUACCCUGGUAGUCCGCACAGUAAACUAUGGAUACUCUCUGCUGGCGAUACAUUGUCGGUGGCCAAGCGAAAGCGUUAAGUAUCCCACCUGGGGAGUACGUUCGCAAGAAUGAAACUCAAAGGAAUUGACGGGGGCCCGCACAAGCGGAGGAACAUGUGGUUUAAUUCGAUGAUACGCGAGGAACCUUACCCGGGUUUGAAUUGCUGAUGGCGAUAAUUGGAGACAGUUAUUUCCCUUCGGGGCGUCAGUGAAGGUGCUGCAUGGUUGUCGUCAGCUCGUGCCGUGAGGUGUCGGCUUAAGUGCCAUAACGAGCGCAACCCUUGCCGUUAGUUGCCAUCGGGUCAUGCCGGGCACUCUAUUGGGACUGCCAUCGUAAGAUGUGAGGAAGGUGGGGAUGACGUCAAAUCAGCACGGCCCUUAUGUCCGGGGCGACACACGUGUUACAAUGGGGGGUACAGUGGGAAGCUACCUGGCGACAGGUUGCGGAUCCCCAAAUCCUUUCUCAGUUCGGAUCGGAGUCUGUAACUCGACUCCGUGAAGUUGGAUUCGCUAGUAAUCGCGCAUCAGCCAUGGCGCGGUGAAUACGUUCCCGGGCCUUGUACACACCGCCCGUCAAG